AUAUUGUUGCGUGCGUCGCCCGGUAUACUCCGCGACCGCGACUCAGCUGUUCGAAGACGGAUCAAUACUAUUGAUUUCCUGGACCGAGCGUUGUCAGCUGACGAGCGCUUGACAACGCGUGUAAACAACUAGUCGAAUCUCGGUCUCGAGCCUUGUCGGACGCGUAAAUAAAGCUGCUUGGUUUUACAGUUAUAAAAGUGUCUUUCAUUUCCGCGGUGCGCACGCUACAUUUUGGGGGCUCGUCCGCUUGUCGGACCUUAAGGAACGCGCGCGGAUCUAGUGAUAAGUGCGCGGAGUGAACAGACGAGAAGAAACGGAGAAUUCAAAGAUGUCCAUCCCCCGUUCUCCUAUCGUGACUCGAUCCCACGCCAUAGAGGAUGUCAACUCAGAUGCACGGGAUUUGGAGCGGGAGACGGGAGGGAGGCGCGCCGAGAUUUCUGGACUUUCUUCGACUGCUAUCGCUCCGGAGUUCCAGAUUCUGAUGGAGGAGCUUCGGCGGAUGCGCGAGGAACAAGCGCAGCAGCAGCGGAAAUUCUUAGAGACGCUGCGACAGCUGCAGUUUCCUCGAGGGAUUGACGCCCAGCUAAGUCUUCCCAAUAAUAUUCCCGUAACCGGAAACGUUAGCGACGCGACGCGAGUUUUAGGCGCGGGCGGGGAAACGUUUGGUGAAACGCGGCCGAUCGUCGGACUAAAAUUAAAGCCCGAUACCUACGACGGGACGGCUCCGUUGCGCGAGUUCCUCGCUCAAUUUUCGCUUAUCGCGAGUGCGAAUCAUUGGAGCGAGUCUGAGAGGGCGGUAGUUCUUGCUUCCUGUCUGCGGGGGAGGGCGCGUUCACUUUUGGACUCGUUUCCGGCUGACGAGGGCUCCAUUUCGUUUGCGGAGCUCAAGUCAAAGUUAGAACUUCGAUUCGGGGAAAGUGAGCUUGCGCAAAAUUUUUAUAUGCAGUUCACGAAUCGGAAGCAAGGGGCGGGGAAAGAUUUCGCGACGUUAGGCGCGGAUUUGGAGCGCCUAUCGCGUAAAGCGUAUCCCGAGUGCUCGUACGAAGUGCACGAUAAAAUUUCUUGUUCGCAGUUUAUCGCUGCGCUGUCGGACGGGUUUGUCAAACGCUCCCUUCAAGUUGAAGGGGUAACGUCUUUACGAGUAGCGGUUUAGCGCGCGAAAAUGUUAAAGUCUUUUAAUUUAAAUAGCUUUUCGGAAAAAGGGGGGAGAUGGAAUAAUAAUUUCCGUUCGGAACGUAAGGGAGACGGAAAUUCUCGAUCGGAGCAGUCGGGAGUUUCAAAACGGAAAGAGGAGGACAAAGGAAAAAAGAAUUAUUUUAAAGGAAAGGAAGGAAACAGAGAGCGAAAAGGGAAAGAAUGUUGGCAAUGUGGGGCCACCGGGCACUUUCGUGCGGAGUGUCCGGCAAAUAAAUCGGGAAACUAAGUUCUGUCGGGUUUAUUGGGGCCGGCUCGGCAGGCGGAGUUCGGGCUCCUGUUCCCGCGCGCGACGGGGCUGCUCUGGUUCGGCGAUUUGACGGUGUGAGUGCGGCCGCGCGCAGCCGUUGUUAUUUUACCGGAUAUUUAAAUGGGAGAGUAUGCAAUUUUAAAAUCGAUACGGGCUCGGAUGUAUCGGUCGUGAGUGCUAGGAUGGCUGCUUCUUUUAACCAGGAGCGUAUUAUUUCUUGUGAUUUGAAAUAUCCUACCGGAGAAAAAGUUCCGGUAAUUUCUCGAAUUACUGUUGAAAUUUCUUUAGGUAAAUUUUGUGUUAAUUUAUUGUGUUAUGUCGCGGAGAUAAGCGACGAAUGUAUACUCGGAGUGGAUUUUCUCUCUGAGGCGGGAAUUCUUGACGGUCUGUUUGAAAGCGCCCUCGGUUUAACGGGCAGCGAGGCGGAGGAGCGCGGGCAAAUUUGUUCUCGGAUUGAGGAAUGCCCUGCUCGGCUCUCCGAUCCUCUUUUGCGGAUUUUUGAAAAAGUUCUCAAGAACUUGAAUUUUCUCAAAAGCAAAUGUUUUCGAAUUUCUUGUCUGAAUUUUCUUGUGUAUUUUCUGAAAAGAUUAUUGCUGGUAAUUGUAAUGUUUUAUCGCAUAACAUAAAAUUGUGUGAUUCUCGCCCUAUUAAGCAGGUACCUCGACGAAUUCCCCUUCAUUUACAGGCGGAAGUGAAUAAAAUUUUGGAAGAUAUGAAAGCCUAUAAAGUAAUAGAGGAAUCAAAUAGUCCUUGGGUUUCUCCAGCAGUUAUGGUCAAAAAGAAGGACAGUACAAUAAGGUUUUGUGUCGACUUCCGGAAAUUAAAUGCUGUGACCAUAAAAGAUUCUUUUCCGCUUCCAAGAAUUGAUAACAUUUUGGAUUGUUUAACGGGGAAUUCGUGGUUCUGUACAUUGGAUCUUAAAAGUGGAUAUUGGCAGGUAAGCCUAGAUCCUAAGGAUCGUGAAAAGACUGCUUUUUCUAUCGGAAAUGGUUUGUGGCAAUUCACAGUUAUGCCUUUUGGUCUUUGUAACGCCCCUGCUACAUUUGAACGCUUGAUGGAAAGAGUAUUGGAAGGAUUAAUUUCAAAGAAGUGUUUUGUUUAUCUUGAUGAUGUAAUUGUUUUCGGAAAAAAUUUUAAAGAAAUGAUGCUCAAUUUGAAAGAAGUUUUCAUUCAGUUGAAAAGAGCUAAUUUAAAAGUUAAUUCUAGUAAAUGUAGUUUCCUUAAAAGAGAAGUUAAAUAUUUAGGUCAUGUUAUUUCAGCAGAGGGGGUUGCAACUGACCCUGAAAAGAUUUCUUCGGUUAAAGAUUGGCCUCUUCCGAAAAAUCGGAAGCAGGUACGAAGUUUUCUUGGAUUUUGCUCGUAUUAUAGAAAAUUUGUGAAAAAUUUUGCUGUUUUAGCAAAGCCUUUGUAUAAUUUGACAGAGGAAAACGUUAAGUUCUUUUGGUCCUCUGAAUGUCAACAGGCUUUUGAGAAUUUAAAACGUGUAUUAACAUGUCCUCCGGUUUUGUCUUUUCCUUCGGGGGAAGGACAAUUUAUUUUAGAUACCGAUGCCUCGAAUCAUGGCAUCGGGGCUGUUCUUUCUCAGUUGCAGGGAGAAGAGGAAAAAGUCAUCGCUUACUACAGUCGGAUUUUCAGUAAGACGGAGCGGAAUUAUUGCGUUACCCGUCGUGAACUUCUUGCUGUCGUGGAUUCAGUGAAGUCUUUCCAUCACUAUCUUUAUGGACGAAAGUUUUUAGUGAGGACCGACCAUGUUUCUCUUCGUUGGCUGAUGUCCUUUCGGAAUUUGGAAGGACAGCUAGCAAGAUGGGUAGAACGCCUUCAGCAGUACGAUUUUGAUAUCUUUUAUCGGAGCGGAAAGGUGCACAAAAACGCCGAUGGACUCUCGAGACGACCAUGUUUGGAGACUUUAUGUCGAUACUGCAUAAAGGUGGAAUUAAAUGAGGAAUCUUCAAAGGAAGAGAUUUUGGGACGUUUAAUCUUUUCAAAUAAGGAACUUCAGGAAUGGCGUUCAGAGCAGCUUUAGGAUUCUGUUGUUUCUAUGAUAAUUCAUGCUAAGGAGGCUGAGACUCGCCCUAAUUGGCAAGAAGUUGCUUCAGGCGAACCUUCCUUGAAGAUUUAUUGGUCUUAUUGGGAUUCAUUGUUUUUGAUUGACGGAGUUCUUCAUAAGAAAUGGAUUUCCCCGAACUUGCGAAGAGAUAUUUUUCAAAUUGUGGUGCCACGGCAUAAAGUUCAGGAAAUUCUUGAAGAAGCCCAUGAUUCACCUUCAGGGGGACAUUUCGGUGUCAAUAAGACCCUUCAGAAAAUACGAAAGCAUUUUUAUUGGGCUACCAGCAAGAAGGACGUGGAGAGAUGGUGUGCCUCUUGUAAGGUAUGCGUUGCUAGAAAAGGGCCCAUUGGGAAGGGAAAGUCUCCCUUGGAAAUUUACAAUGUGGGCGCACCUUUCGAGAGGAUACAAGUCGAUAUUUUGGGUCCUCUGCCGGUUUCUUCUUCAGGAAAUAAGUAUCUCCUAGUGGUGGUGGAUUGUUUUACUAAAUGGCCAGAAGCUAUUCCCUUAAAGAAUAAAAAAGCUAGUACCAUUGCAAGAUCACUUGUGGAUCAAGUAUUUUCUCGACACGGAAUUCCUUUGGAGCUUUACACGGAUCAGGGAAGGAAUUUUGAAUGUAGUCUUUUCAAGGAGAUGUCUUUGCUUCUAGGAAUGAAGAAGACGCGUACGACUUCUCUUCAUCCACAGUCUGAUGGACAAGUCGAGCGUCAACAUCGCACAAUUCUUGAUUAUUUGGCGAAAUUCAUUUCUGAAAACCAGAAGGAUUGGGAUCGUUGGAUUUCACUUUAUCUUUUGGCUUUUCGUUCGUCAAAACAGGAAACAACUGGAGCUUCUCCUGCGGAAAUGUAUUUGGGACAAGACUUACGUUUGCCUCUGGAUCUUCUUAGAGGCAACCCUUCUUCUUCCAAGAAAGAAGGGAGGACUGAUUUUAUUUUCAGAUUGAAGCAGAAGUUAAAUUUGAUGCAUCGUUUCGCUCGUGAGCGUCUUUCAAUUAGCUCCAAAAAUGCUAAGUUUUGGUAUGACCAACGGACUAGACAAGUAAAUUUCGAACCAGGGCAGAAAGUAUGGUUCUUCAAUCCUCGACGGGUUCCUGGAAGAGCUCCUAAGUUGCAGAGUUCUUGGGACGGUCCGUGGAAGAUAGUCAAGAAAUUGAAUGAUGUAUUGUAUUGUAUUCGGAGAUUUCAUAUAAAUAAAGUUGUUCAUGCAAAUCGUUUGGCUCCUUUCAUGGAGAAGGAGUGAAGCCGAUGCGAGUUCAAACCGAACCGAUACGAAUCCGAGCCCGAAUGAAAUGGGGGGUUUGUUCUAAUGUUAACACCGUUUUGAAGUUAAUUUUAGUUCAUGUUUUUAUGUUUUUGUUCUGUUUGUUUUCUUGUGUGUUUCAGUUGCUCUUCGGAGAGCAGUUUCUUUUUAGAAGAAGGGCGGACGAAGAGGGAUCUCUUUCGGAAGGAGGUCGCUGCUUAUAGGGAAGAAGACUGCCUCAUCCACGGUUUUUGACCGUGGUUUUCCCGUGGAACUUAGGGCAAAUGCCGAGGCAGAGGACGGGGAGCUUUUUAAAGCGUUGGGUCCACGGAGAUAAAUUCCCCCCCGAUCCUGAAAAGAGAAGAAGGAAGUGCACAAGAUCCGACGUCGAGGGACAGUGUCGCAAGGGGAGUGGAGCACGGGGACGCGGAAGGAUUCGGGAGAUCCUGCGUGAGAGCUGGAUGAGUUCGGCGUGAGAGGAUGCCCGUGGUAGUCCUUGCAGGGGGCGAAAAACUUCGGUGGACGUGACUCGCGAACCCGUUGCAGCAGCUCGGGAAGAGCAGGAAAUCGUCCGGGUACCGAGGGAGUCUUCUGCGGAAAGCGCUAAAACUGUUUCCCUGAUUGUCGGGACGACAAUCUAGAAGAAGGGGGGCAGUGUUGCGUGCGUCGCCCGGUAUACUCCGCGACCGCGACUCAGCUGUUCGAAGACGGAUCAAUACUAUUGAUUUCCUGGACCGAGCGUUGUCAGCUGACGAGCGCUUGACAACGCGUGUAAACAACUAGUCGAAUCUUGGUCUCGAGCCUUGUCGGACGCGUAAAUAAAGCUGCUUGGUUUUAUAGUUAUAAAAGUGUCUUUCAUUUCCGCGGCGCGCACGCUACAAUAUUAAUCUUUUAAACAUCAUAUAGAAAAUAUAAAAAUUAUAGUUUUUAUACAUACCGAAACAUUUCUAUUUUCUUCCCAUAGUUUAUAUUUUUUUCGUGGAAGGGUAUCAUAUUCAUUGGCCAUUAUUUUGUCUAAAUAUAGAAAAUUUCCCAAAACCGUAUAAUUUAUGAUUUUUUGGUGUAUUGUUGAUUACGUCAAAUAUUUAACAUUGCGAUAUUGUGAACGAGAAGACAUAUAUAUACCGCUUUAUAAUUGGCUUAAUUUGACACUGCUAAUCACUGAUAAUUCAAACAGAAGGCUAGUAGGUAAUGUAUAUAGAAAUAAGAUGCUACAUUCAAGAACUGUGCGGAAUGUUCUGCGCAGCACGUGUAUUGACGUGUACUCGGUUCUCGAUUGUGUAUGACUAGAUGUGUUCAACAGACGAAGCGGAUCAGUGAGUGGUUAAUGAUUGGUUUUUGCUUCUAAAUCUAACGAAGAACUAAAGGCAAGAACCAAUCACUGAACGCUCACUGAUCCGCUUCGUCUGCUGAACGCACUCAUAUUAUUGUGUGUAAUUUGAUGGCACGGUUCGCGCUUUUUCUCAACGUCUCUACUGCAAUAGAUUAACGUGCGAAGUGUGGUGAAAUUAUCUCGAAUUUCUUAACAUAUUCCGUGCAUAAAAAUGUUUAUUUUGUACUGUGCUAGCGACAAUUCCUACAGUUUUGUAGAAAAUGAAAACGUUGUUUUUGACGAAGAAAAUAUUACAAAAAGGUGAUGAAGUAAUAUUUACUUACAAUAAUAAACAAUAUACUGGGAAAGUGAUAGAACAUUUAGAAAUUUUAUAGGUUAUUCUUUACUUAUAUAAAAGCGUUGUCGAGCAUUGUAAAUGUCAUGUGAUACCAAAUGUUACCUGCAAAAACAAUUUGAUACAUUAAAAUUACAGAAAAAAACUAAAAAAGGUAAACAAUUCAAUGAAACAAAAAAGUUUCAUCGUAAAAGCAAAGAAAUAGAAGUAUCACCGUCUUUUAAAUCAUCAAAAGUAGUAAUUAACACUUAAAGCACAAAUAAUAGAGCUAAAAA